rnacentral:tRNA from 1 species
CCCGCCAUAGCUCAAUGGUAGAGCACGCGGCUGUAGACCGUGGGGUUCCCGGUUCGAGUCCGGGUGGCGGGA